rnacentral:rRNA from 1 species
CAGCAGCCACGGGAAUACGUAGGUGGCAAGCGUUGUCCGGAAUUAUUGGGCGUAAAGGGCUCGCAGGCGGUUUCUUAAGUCUGAUGUGAAAGCCCCCGGCUCAACCGGGGAGGGUCAUUGGAAACUGGGAAACUUGAGUGCAGAAGAGGAGAGUGGAAUUCCACGUGUAGCGGUGAAAUGCGUAGAGAUGUGGAGGAACACCAGUGGCGAAGGCGACUCUCUGGUCUGUAACUGACGCUGAGGAGCGAAAGCGUGGGGAGCGAACAGGAUUAGAGACCCCUGUAGUCCCUGUCUCUUAUAA